UUGUAUUUUAAUGUAUUCUGUUGUCUAUUCUGUUGUAUUCCAGUGGUGUAUCAGAAUUGGUGUACGUUUAGAAAUAAGGGACGUUUAUGCAUUUUUUUCAUUGACUUGGAAAAAACACAAACGUUUGCUUAAUUAUGGACGAACGGCUUCGAGUUGCCUCGUGCAAUAUCAGUUUCCAGAAACCCCUAAAUGACCGACUCUUCCAUGCCUGAGAUGACCCGCCCUGCCCUGCGUCAUGACCUCCCGGCAUACAUUGAAACCGUGCGCUGAAUGGGUGACUUUUCAAUGCUGGAGGUCCACUCCUGACCCCGCC